CUAAGGGUUGGUAAAAUAAACAGUAUUUGGAUAUAACCCGCUGGGGAAAACACAAAAGGUUAUGUCAAAGUUAAGGCUGUCUGUAUCUAGCCAACACCGGGUCCAUUCUGUACUCCAAGAUACUGUCAUCAGUAUUUUGGCCUUUGAAUUUUUGUUGUACCUACAAACAAGGAUCAGGCUCAAGCAUAUCCUCCAGCCAGAGACCUGAAUGCUUUCUGUUCUUGUUGCCUUCUGUACCCUCACUGGAGAUCAGAUUUGAACCAGUCACACUGCUGACAAGGAGCUCAGCCCACGUGGGCUCUCAGGCUUCAGCAUGCUCAGCCUUGCUUCUGUCUGAUCCUAUGAAGAUUUACGAGGCACCAGGACCUCUCCUAGAAGCUUCAGGGCCAUGCCAAACUCCAGACCUGAACACACACACACACUCCCUGCAGAAGCAAAGGGACACUGUCCUUUAACCUCUCCAACUUACUGUCUGGAUUUACGGGCAAACCUAUUUUUACUAGCAGGUUAAAUAUUUAGGACAUUAACCCAGAAGCACACAAAGAGUUCACCAACUGCUCUACAAGUCAGUCCUCCAGCAGAGCUAGCAACGGUAACUUAAAAGACUGCAGCAAAGAGGUACCAAAUCUCAGUGGUUCGCACAAGUCCAAAGAGGGAGGAAAAAAUAACUGUCAACAGAUCUUCAGCCAAAUGGAACCAUUGGUAUGCCAAGAGAGAACACAGCUUUUGCAGAAAUGAACCUGCCAGCACUAUGGUAAAGUGCUGUCUGGACAUGGCCCUGGGCACCCUGUUCUGGGUGCCACGGCUUGAACAAGGGUUGGACUCAGAGGUCUUUGCCAACCUCAGACAGUCUGGCAUUCUUUUUCUGAACAUGGAUACCAACAGCUGGGAACUGAAAUGUUGCUCAGUGGCCUGAAUUGAGAAGGUCUGCAGGCAGAGAGAACAGAACCUCUUAUUGCUGCCCACUGUUACCUCACUGCUGGAAUCAGUGCUGUUACAGAAACUGUUUUUACAUCUUCUCUUAACAGGGGAAAGAAAGGAGGAAGAGCUCUGGGUUGCAAAUACCUAAACCAGAGCUUAACCACAAACCGUGAUGAGACAACAACCAGAGCCCAGUGUUGCAUGGCUGCUGCCCUAUCUCCUUGCCUUGGAGCCACCCCCAGCCACACUGUGUCUUUGGAGCUACAGCUGGCGUUCCACACUACACCUGCACUCCCCUGAACGGCUUCUUGGCCACGUGUCCCAGGCAGGUGCUGCUGCAUGCCCUGAAGAAGGGGGACAUCUGCUCUGGGGCAUCCCCAGGCAAAAAGGACGUGUGACUAUUGCUGUCAUAUCAGAGAGGUAUUAACCUUAAAAAUAAGACAACACAACAACAAUAUACUGAAGAUUUCAACAGAAUUGGAGGAAAGGGCAAAACAAACUCAUAAACAGAGCAAUUUUGGAAAGGGAAUUAACUCUCAUAAAACGUUAAGCAUGCUAAACUCUAACAUGUUGAUUUUCUAAUACAAAUGUAAAUUUUACUUAAAACUUAAUUUACUUUCUUUGCAUUUCUUCCAGCACACAUAUUACAAGCAAGUUGUUGCUAGUGGGCUUACUCAGCUAUGAACACUACACUAACACUAUCAGUAAGAUCAAUCAUGCACUAAAUUGCUACUGAAAAUAUACUGUCUCUUCUGGCUUUAUUUCUCCACAUGGUUGACCUGCUAUUUUCCACUGUACAUUUUUUAUGUAGGGAGUAACUGCAUUUUGAAGUCGCCUCCAACUUAACCAGCGGCUUCUGCACAAAGGGUCAGCAUGAAAUAUUUUUUCUUAUACUUCGAUGAUACCAAAAGCAGCGGCCAAUACAACAGCGAGGCCUUGGUCAGCCUUUGUUUCAGACUGGGCUGGUUAACCAAGGCACGAACAGCCUCUGAAAUGGAGCUACAGCCAUUCUGGUCACUUGUCACUGACAGAUGCACCAGCAAUAUUAAUUCUCUUCUCUUCAGAACAGGCUGAUUUCAACCACAACUUUCUCUGAAAAACUAAUUAAACAGUAAUUAUGCAUUAAAAAAAAAAAACCAACACAAAAAACCCAAUACUAUCAGCAAAAAGAUCACUAUCAACAAUGAAUGGCCAUCAUUUGAAAACAGAAAUAUGCUUACGAGGUCACAGAGCCUCGUGCUUGGCUUGGCUUUGGUUUACCAGCAAGAAGUCCAGGAGGAACCUGGGCCCCCAGUCAGGGUGUCCAACUCAUGAAGCAGAUGUGCAGGUGACUGUGGGGCU